GGUAGAAGAUCUUACAGUGCUCAAUCUGCGUCAGAUGCUUAUCCAUUUGAUAUCCGCCGGCUAGCCCAGCUCUGAAGAUGGAGAUGGUGAUUAUGGUGGCAUGAUAAUAUGAAGAUUAUAUCCAAUAUUUUUUCUGUGUUCUGCAAUUUGGGUUUUGUGUGCUUAGAAGUGCACAUAUCGAGUCCUGUCUAGCUACUUCAAGCAAGCAAUAACAA
rnacentral:misc_RNA from 1 species